ensembl:miRNA mdo-mir-7371m mdo-mir-7371m
AGCUGUACCAGAUGCUACAUUUUAGAGAUUGUGUGAAAUGUUGCAUCUAGUGCACUAGU